rfam:Ancylostoma ceylanicum strain HY135 Acey_s0143_scaf, whole genome shotgun sequence.
CCAACGGCCCUCUUUAGGGCCACAAAUGAGCUCGAAUACGCUUGA